AUCGCUUCUCGGCCUUUUGGCUAAGAUCAAGUGUAGUAUCUGUUCUGUGCCUAGCCUUUAGGUGCUUUGGAGUAUCUUCC
rnacentral:snRNA from 1 species